rnacentral:rRNA from 1 species
GAAUAAGCACCGGCUAACUCCGUGCCAGCAGCCGCGGUAAUACGGAGGGUGCAAGCGUUACUCGGAAUCACUGGGCGUAAAGGACGCGUAGGCGGAUUAUCAAGUCUCUUGUGAAAUCUAACGGCUUAACCGUUAAACUGCUUGGGAAACUGAUAAUCUAGAGUAAGGGAGAGGCAGAUGGAAUUCUUGGUGUAGGGGUAAAAUCCGUAGAUAUCAAGAAGAAUACCUAUUGCGAAGGCGAUCUGCUGGAACUUAACUGACGCUAAUGCGUGAAAGCGUGGGGAGCAAACAGGAUUAGAUACCCUGGUAGUCCACGCCCUAAACGAUGUAUACUAGUUGUUGCUUCGCUAGUCGAGGCAGUAAUGCACCUAACGGAUUAAGUAUACCGCCUGGGGAGUACGGUCGCAAGAUUAAAACUCAAAGGAAUAGACGGGGACCCGCACAAGCGGUGGAGCAUGUGGUUUAAUUCGAAGAUACGCGAAGAACCUUACCCGGACUUGAUAUCUAACAAAUCAUCCAGAGAUGGAAGAGUGUCUGCUUGCAGAAAUGUUAAGACAGGUGCUGCACGGCUGUCGUCAGCUCGUGUCGUGAGAUGUUGGGUUAAGUCCCGCAACGAGCGCAACCCACGUCAUUAGUUGCUAACGGUUCGGCCGAGCACUCUAAUGAGACUGCCUUCGUAAGGAGGAGGAAGGUGUGGACGACGUCAAGUCAUCAUGGCCCUUAUGUCCGGGGCGACACACGUGCUACAAUGGCAUAUACAAUAAGACGCAAUAUCGUAAGAUGGAGCAAAUCUAAAAAAUAUGUCCCAGUUCGGAUUGGAGUCUGCAACUCGACUCCAUGAAGCCGGAAUCGCUAGUAAUCGUAGAUCAGCCAUGCUACGGUGAAUACGUUCCCGGGUCUUGUACUCACCGCCCGUCACACCAUGGGAGUUGAUUUCACUCGAAGCCCAAAUACCAAACUGGUUAUGGUCCACAGUGGAAUCAGCGACUGGGGUGAAGUCGUAACAAGGUAACCGUAGGAGAACCUGCGGUUG